UACGGGGGGGGCAAGCGUUGUUCGGAAUUACUGGGCGUAAAGGGCUCGUAGGCGGCCAACUAAGUCAGACGUGAAAUCCCUCGGCUUAACCGGGGAACUGCGUCUGAUACUGGAUGGCUAGAGAUUGGGAGAGGGAUGCGGAAUUCCAGGUGUAGCGGUGAAAUGCGUAGAUAUGUGGAGGAACACCGAUGGCGAAGGCAGCCUUCUGGGCCAACACUGACGCUCAUGCACGAAAGCGUGGGGAGCAAACAGG
rnacentral:rRNA from 1 species